rnacentral:tRNA from 1 species
AUUUAUUUAAUAUAAAAAGUAUAUUUGAUUUCCAAUCAAAAAGUCUAGUUGUUUUAGAAUAAAUA